GACGAACGCUGGCGGCGUGCUUAACACAUGCAAGUCGAACGAUGAAGAAGAGAAACGCGAACUUCGGUUCAACUUUCACUUCGGAUUAGUGGCAGACGGGUGAGUAACGCGUGAGCAACCUACCUCUUACAAAGGGAUAGCCUCGGGAAACCGUGAUUAAUACCAUAUGACACAUUCAUAAGGCAUCUUAAGAAUGUUAAAGCUACGGCGGUAAGAGAUGGGCUCGCGUCCCAUUAGCUAGUUGGUGAGGUAACGGCCCACCAAGGCGACGAUGGGUAACCGGCCUGAGAGGGUGAACGGUCACAUUGGAACUGAGACACGGUCCAAACUCCUACGGGAGGCAGCAGUGGGGAAUAUUGCACAAUGGAGGGAACUCUGAUGCAGCGACGCCGCGUGAGCGAUGAAGGAAUUCGUUUCGUAAAGCUCUGUUCUAUGGGAGGAAAAGGACUGUACCAUAGGAGAAAGCCCCGGCUAAAUACGUG
rnacentral:rRNA from 1 species